UACAGAGGUCUCAAGCGUUUGUUCGGAUUCAUUGGGGCGUAAAGGGCGCGUAGGCUGCGGGGCAAGUCGGGUGUGAAAUCUCAGAGCUCAACUCUGAAACUGCACUCGAUACUGCUUUGCUUGAGGACUGGAGAGGAGAUUGGAAAUUCACGGUGUAGCAGUGAAAAUGCGUAGAUAUCGUGAGGAAGACCGUGGCGAAGGCGGAUCUCUGGACAGUUCCUGACGCUGAGGCGCGAAGGCCCAGGGGGAG
rnacentral:rRNA from 1 species